GGGCCUCUAGUAUAAUGGCUAGAACAGUUGGCUUCGGACCAAUCAGUCUGGGUUCGAGUCCCGGGGGGCCCG
rfam:Ordospora colligata OC4 contig_08, whole genome shotgun sequence.